CUGACGGAAUUUUCCGUUAGAAAUUUUCUGUCAGAAAUUUCUGACAGAAAUAUAAAUCUGUCAGAAAUUUCUGACGAAAAAUUCUGUCAGAAAUUUCCGACGGAAAAAUA
rfam:Cajanus cajan CcLG07_391, whole genome shotgun sequence.